rnacentral:misc_RNA from 1 species
CCUCGGUAGGCCCGAAGCACAUGUCGUCGAGCGCCUCGCUACGGCACCACCUGCACCCAGCUCUCGCCGCGCAGUCGUCCCGCGUCGCCAGAUCCUGGCACGGCGACGGCCCCGCGCGGCCCGAUCCGACCCUGCCCCUGCCCGCCCCGGCGGCGGCAGAGGCCGCCGAGACCGCCGUCGCGCAGACCAGGAGGAGAAGCAUGGUUGGGGCCGCGGAUCUGGUUCUUCUGGUGGACAUCUUCGGAUGCAAUUGUCAGGUUGUGCAGAAGGGAGUCCCGAACGCCGAACGCGCCUGCGCGUG